UACAGAGGGGGCAAGCGUUGUCCGGAAUUACUGGGCGUAAAGGGCUCGUAGGCGGCCAACUAAGUCGGAUGUGAAAUCCCCAGGCUUAACCUGGGAACUGCAUCCGAUACUGGAUGGCUUGAAUCCGGGAGAGGGAUGCAGAAUUCCAGGUGUAGCGGUGAAAUGCGUAGAUAUCUGGAGGAAUACCGGUGGCGAAGGCGGCAUCCUGGACCGGCAUUGACGCUGAGUGAGCGAAAGCCAGGGGAGCAAACGGG
rnacentral:rRNA from 1 species